AUGGCAUCUUACACAGUGGUCAUUGUCCCUCUCAGGAACAGUCCUAACAGUCUGGAUGCAUUGCAGUUCUUCCUUUGGGUGAAGAAGAUGAAGGACUUGGAGAGGGAAAAGGACCUUUUGUGGAUUGGAUUGCAGGCUUUAGAGCAGGUGCGAGAGAAAUUAUGCUACAACCCAGAAGACCACAUGGAAGUGCAAGACCAAUUCAAGAAAGGACAGAUGAGAAAAGUGUUUCCAGACACCUCCACCCUACUGUUGGCUCAGAUCCACAGAGUGAACAGGACCUUGAGGAAUCUACUGUGUGACUCCAGGAAUCCCACUGAUCCUGCAAUAGAAGGUACUGAAGGACAUCAGCCCUCUCCUACCGAUUCAGAAGAAAGUGCUAGUUUUUAAUCAGCUAUUUGUUUUGAAUUUCUAUACUGUAUUUUCCUGUAUUGUGUGCUUGCUGAAUGUAUUCUGAGUGGAUUGAAAUGAUCAUUUUAAGUGCAAUAUAUGAAAAUUGCUUACUUGAUUGGAUUUCCAAAACAUGGCAUACAACUCGCACACUGCUUUGUAUGUUUUAUUCAAGAAUUCGGUGAAGUCGACUUGGCGAAACUUUCCAUUUCCAUUGUCCUUCCAGGAAUUAAUAUACUAAAGGUUUAUUAACUGCGCUCUGCCAUUUAGUUUCUGAUACUAUUUUUGCAAUGGUAAAUUUAUACAUGCAAAGAAAUUAGAUCAUGUGAGCAUUUUUUUCUUUUUGUCAGUAUACUGCAUUUAUAUUUGACUAUUUUUGUAUUUAUUAAUGCAUAUUUAAAUCGGCAGGUUUUUUUUCUGCGUGUGAAAUUGAUGAGCACAAAAAAAAGUAAUGUAAAAGAGAUUAAAUUUGAAAGCUCAUUCAUUCAGCAGUUCUUAAAUAUCGAGUUAAUGAGUUAUCCAAGUCAACAGCGAUUAUCAUGGAAAGAAAGACAACACUGAGUGCAUAACAGUGGCCAUUCCUCCACACCUUAGCCUUUUUUGACAUGUCACCUGUCAUCCUGGUCCCAGAAUUUCCUCUCAUGGCCACCCAAGGGGUUAAUAUGAAAGCUGUUCCUGCCACAGCCAGCCUAGAGAUUCCUGUCUCAGCCUCUCCAUUCCUCAGCUUAUCAUCUGCCAGACUGACAUCAGUGGCCUUUUACAAGUCUUAGCAUCUUCCAAAGCUAGCCUUGGUAGUCUGGUGCCUUGGUUUGAGGCAGUAUCAUUACAGCAUACUUUAACAAUAUAGUAAUUGUGCAGUUGGUUCAGUAGUUUAUAUAAAUAUAUUUCAAUAGUUUAAAUAAUCAAAACUUUAAAAAAUAUUCUGCCAUACACUUUAAAAGCAUAGUUUAUUUAAAUUAUAUCACUACAGCAUACAGUAUUUAUUUAUAUAACAAUAUGGCAUACAGUAGUUCACAGCAUAGUUUAACAUUGCACAAUUGAAAAUAAUAUCACUCAGAAAUAUGGCUUGAUUAAUGUUUUUAUUUAUUUUAUAUAUUGUGUUUAAUGUGCUGAAUAAAAUGUAAAAUUGUUGAGUGAGAGGUUGUCACCGUUCAUAUAAUG
ensembl:lncRNA